GAUGAAGAACGCAGCAAAAUGCGAUAAGUAGUGUGAAUUGCAGAAUUCAGUGAAUCAUCGAAUCUUUGAACGCACAUUGCGCCCCUUGGUAUUCCAUGGGGCAUGCCUGUUCGAGCGUCAUUGACACCCUCAAGCCCCUUUGGCUUGGUGUUGGAGACUGGCGGGGCGCAUGCGCCCGGAGCCACUCCCAAAUACAAUGACGGCGGCGACGAUGACCCCCGGUACACUGAGCUUCUCACCGAGCACGUGCUGGAAGGGUCUUGUGGCCACGGUCUGCCUCCCCUCUGGGAGAAACGGAUUUCAUCCACCAAGGUUGACCUCGGAUCAGGUAGGGAUACCCGCUGAACUUAAGCAUAUCAAUAAGCGGAGGA
rnacentral:misc_RNA from 1 species